UUUAUAUUUUAAAACCGGACACCGUUUUCCUUCCGUCGAUCGUUUUGCGGGAUGUUGGCAACCGUCGAUUAACAUGCGCGUGCACUGUAACUUUUUAGACGACAAGCGUUAGUUGAAUGUAUCCAUUGAAGCACACACGAGGAUAAGAAACUUACCUUAGAAAUGUACAAGGAUAAAUCAUUCCAUAAUUGAAGAAGAAGGAACACGGCACAAAACGUAAACGAGCAAAGUACGGGACACAAGAAAUCACACAUCACUCCAACACAUCCUUCCACAGUGAAAGUUCUGGACAGACUGAGGAUGCCUAACACCCGGAUGAGCGCGAUAGCAGAAAAAUCAUGGGAGAUCGAGAGAGAUGUGUAGUCUCGGUUCAGCGGAAUACGCAUGCAGAUGCAUGCGUGCCCAACUGUCAAAAGCCGAAGAUUUUAUAUUGACCUUUCGUUUUUUCUAUCUGUCGCUCUAAUUUGAGUGAUUUUCCCUUCGUGAGUAUCCACGAGCUCCCUCGUGUGGCUGUUGUUGGAAGUUGAAACCGAAACCCCUUCGUGCGCUGCCAAAAUCAGCGAAGAACGAAAUCGAGUGGCUCAAGCGAAAAAACGAAAAAAACUGACGAACGAGUGUGCUGUGACAAUAACCCACACACACACGCACAAGGCGACACCCGAAAUCUGGUGCGAUACCGGCUUUCAGUGGAGCAAGUACACACAUGCACACAUUUGACCAUACCAGCGCUCUGUUCUAGUGCAGGUAGUUUUCUGCAGUCCACGGUGAUACUACACACAGCCACGCACUUGGCGAUACACGCUGUGUGGUGGACGGUCAGAAUUCAGUGGUGCAAAUACACACAUGCAUACACUUGGCGACACACGCUCUGCUGUGCGGUGAGGUUUGUGUUCUGUGUCCCGUGGUGCAAAUAUACACACACACAUACUUGGCUACACACGCAGUACGGCGCGGUUGGCUUGGCAGAAGCGCAUACACACAUUCACGCAGUAGGCUUUACUUUCAGUCCAGUGAGGUUGGUGCUCGUGGGGUUUUUCAGCGCUUGGCGGAUAAACCCCGUAAAAAAUGGAGUUUUGUUUAAUUUGAGGUAAGUAAAAGUGAUUAAAAUUAUCAACCAACAUCCCCCCUUCUAAUUAAUAUCAUUUUUCUUCCAUUUCAUGUGUGUUUCACGGCGAACGGAGACAACAAAACCUGUGGCAGUGUCGUGGUGUUGGAGAUGGUGGCCCGUACAGUGCAGCGAGAAGAACUAGGCGCGACAGCGAUGUGGAGCAGAAAGUGCUGUGCUGAUUUUAAUUUUUCUUUGUGCGAGUGUAAAAAGUGUUUUUUUUAUUAUGUGCGUUAAUUUAGAAUUAAGUGCAAUGAUUAUUGUGCAUGUGUUGUGUUUUUUUUUGUAUUCUAUGUUGGUUCGAUAUUCAAUAAAUCGAAUCAUGUUGAUAUAAUGGUCCGCACUGUAUCAUUUCGGAAAGAAAUCCUGGCAAAAAAGGGGGAGGGGACUAAUUAAACGAAGGUUCGUGCAGACCCCCGUUCGGGUUUUGCUUCGGCUUCGGGUUUGCUUCGGCUUCGGGACCCGACGGAUCGGUUGAAUAAUUUCGCCAACUCAGCUUCAAAGCCAGCUUCAAUCUCAGCGGAUCUCUGAGUGCUGGUGACCGGUGGGGUGUGUGUCACUCGAAGGAUAUCGGUUUCCCCUUCUCCCGUUUUUCGUUCAUAGGCCACACGAUCGGCGUUGUGCCGUCCAAAAUCUAGAGAAAGAAGACAUGCUCUCUCGCUUUGGCACACAGGAAAGUUUUCCAAUAGCUUCGGUUUUGCUGGUUGGGCUGUUCGCACGCAUACAACCCACCGGGCACCAGCACUCAGAGAUCGCUUGAAUACGCGCUUGAAAAAGAACUUGAGUUGGCGAAAUUAUUCAAGUGAUCCGUCGGGUCCCGAAGCCGAAGCAAACCCGAAGCCGAAGCAAACCCGAAGCCGAAGCAAAACCCGAACGGGGUUCAGCACGACCCUUCGUUAAAAUAGCCCCCUCCCCCUUUUUGCCAGAUUUUCUUUCCAAAAUGAAACAGUGUCACACACAUGUAGUAGAACAACUUGAUUUAUUUAAGCAAAUAAAUCGGUUUAAUGAGACGCACUAACAACUAUUUCACACACGGUCAACACUUCGCAAAUUACACAAAUUAUGGCACAUUAUAUUAAAAACACUUUUAUCAACUGUUCCGUGAAUAAAACGCAACAUUUUCACCGUACUUUCUGCACUCCACCGCUGUUGAUCAUGGUUGUCAUCUUUCCACUGUACCCAAAGUGGGUAUAGGGACUAGGUGGGCUUGUAGGUUUGGCGGGAAGGCCAUAUUGGACGAACGAAUGACAGGAGGGGAUUCGAUUGUGAUACGUAGUUUUUCACCUACACUACGACACAUCAACCAAAACAGCCAUUGGAAUUCACACGCAUACAUCAACAAAUGAUCGAAUCCCCUCCUGUCAUUUCGUUUUCAUUUUUCUACAGCACGGCUGUCAAAUUGUUCGGGAUAAGCCCACCUGUAUAAUGAACCCACUUUGACUGUACCCGUCAUUUGCACCAACAUUUGCACAUCACAAACACAGGUUUUGUUGUCUCCGUUCGCGAUGAAAAACACAUGAAAUGGAAGAAAAAUUAUAUUAAUUAGAAGGGGGGAUGUUGGUUGAUAAUUUUAAUCACUUUUACUUACCUCAAAUUAAACAAAACUCCAUUUUUUACGGGGUUUAUCCGCCAAGUGCUGAAACACCACACAAGCACCAACCUCACUGGACUGAAAGUGAAGCCUACUGCGUGAAUGUGUGUAUGCGCUUCUGCCAAGCCAACCGCGCCGUACUGCGUGUGUAGCCAAGUGCGUGUGUGUGUAUAUUUGCACCACUGGACACAGAACACAAAUCUCACCGCACAGCAGAGCGUGUGUCGCCAAGUGUAUGCAUGUGUGUAUUUGCACCACUGAAUUCUGAACGUCCACCACACAGCGUGUAUCGCCAAGUGCGUGGCUGUGUGUAGUAUCACCGUGGACUGCAGAAAACUACCUGCACUAGAACAGAGCGCUGGUGUGGCCAAAUGUGUGCAUGUGUGUACUUGCUCCACUGAAAGCCGGUAUCGCACCAAAUUUCGGGUGUCGCCUUGUGCGUGUGUGUGUGUUAUUGUCACAGCACACUCGUUCGUCAUUUUUUUUUCGUUUUUUCGCUUGAGCCACUCGAUUUCGUUCUUCGCUGAUUUUGGCAGCGCACGAGGGGGUUUCGGCUUCAACUUCUAACAACAACAACCACACGAGGAGGCUCGGGGACACUCAUCAGGGGAAAAUCGCUCAAAUUAGAGCGAGAGACAGAUAGAAAAAGUGAAAGGUCAAUAUAAAAUCUUCGGCUUUUGACUGUUGGGAACUCAAUUCCUCGAACGCCGUCGAAUUUGUCCAGCAGUGUUCGAUACGUCCAAGUAGCAGAGCCGAAGUUGUUCAGAGAUUUUUCUGUGUGCCAAAGCGAGAUACCCUGUCUUCUCUCUCUAGAUUUUGGACGGCAAACCGCCACGCGUGUAGAUAUGUGUGCGUGUGACGAAAAAUGAUGGAUGAAAAAUGCGAGGAGCGGGGUCUGAAGUCUUUCGUUGGUCACACACACAUGCAUCUACCAGCGGAUUGCGCUUCACCGUGUCUACCCAUCUUUCUCGAUCUACCAUGAUUUUUUCUGCUAUCGCACCAUCCGGGUGUUAGGCAUCCUCAGUCUGUCCAGAACUUUCGUUGUGGAAGGAUGUGCGGGAGUGAUGUGCGAUUUCUUGUGUCCCCUACUUUCCUUGUUUACGUUUUGCGCAGUGUUGUUUCUUCUUCCAUUGUGGAAUGAUUUAUCCUAGCUAACUUGUUGAGUUACAGGUGCAUGCGACAUUCAUCAACGCCUACCUGUUGCCAUCAUCAACAAUCUUCAAAGUGGGUGACGGAAGGAAAUUGUUUUUCAGUUUUAAAAUAUUAAGCGCUCAGCACAACUCAGCCACAAAACAACGCACUGGAUUACGCUAAGAACCUGUCGAAACGCGCGCAGCCCGCGGGCGCGGUAGAAGAAAGGAAGAACGAGAGGAGGAAAAACUAAAGCCGGCGCGCAGUUCUGAUGGUACCCCGUACGCGGUAAGAAGAAAAAAGAUCGAGCGGAGGAAGAACGGUAAAUUUGGAAGGGGGUGACCGUUCUGCCGUCUACACAGUGUGAGUAUGCCAAAGCACGUGUUGGAAGGGAGAGAAAAAGUAUGGAAUAAACCGCAUGCGAAUGUGUGCAUACAGCAAAAGUAAA